rnacentral:lncRNA from 1 species
AUGCACCACCACCAAAAGACAACUUAUCGCCACCAUCAUCCUCAAACGCGCCACCGCCACCAAAACAAAAGUUAACUCCACCACCCUCCAACGCGCCACCAGCAAAACAAAACUCGUCACCGCCUUCACUAGAACCAAUAAAUGGUCCAACUAAGCCACCGACAAAACAAAUCUCGUCUCCACCUUCGCUAGAACCAAUAAAAGGUCCAACUAAGCCACCAACAAAUCAAAACUCGCCACCACCUUCACUAGAACCAACAAAAGGUCCAACUAAGCCACCAAUAAAUCAAAACUCACCACCACAAUCACCAGAACCCAUAAAAGCUCCAGCUAAGC